rnacentral:tRNA from 1 species
GAAAUUAGGUUAACUAGACCAAGAGCCUUCAAAGCUCUAAGUAAAUAGAUUAUUUAUUUCCUG